CCGCUUAGCAAUCUACAAGGGUUUGUGGAGCCGACCUCCCUCUCGUAGAUGAACAUCACCAUGAUAGGUCUUCGUGUGCGUAGGAAAUUUUUUGUUUCCCAUGCAACGUUCCCCAACAUCGCAGUGAUGUAGACUGGGCAGCCGGGGCACAGUGAUGCAGGCUACAGCGUCCUCAUGUCUCGUUUGAUGGGACGUUGCAGCUGUCCUCGCUGGGCUCCACCAAGACAGGU
rnacentral:lncRNA from 1 species